rnacentral:rRNA from 1 species
UAGAUGAUCGCAUGGUCUUCUGGGAAGCUUUCGCGGUAUGGGAUGGGGUCGCGUCCUAUCAGCUUGACGGCGGGGUAACGGCCCACCGUGGCUUCGACGGGUAGCCGGCCUGAGAGGGCGACCGGCCACAUUGGGACUGAGAUACGGCCCAGACUCCUACGGGAGGCAGCAGUGGGGAAUAUUGCACAAUGGGCGCAAGCCUGAUGCAGCGACGCCGCGUGAGGGAUGGAGGCCUUCGGGUUGUAAACCUCUUUUAUCGGGGAGCAAGCGAGAGUGAGUUUACCCGUUGAAUAAGCACCGGCUAACUACGUGCCAGCAGCCGCGGUAAUACGUAGGGUGCAAGCGUUAUCCGGAAUUAUUGGGCGUAAAGGGCUCGUAGGCGGUUCGUCGCGUCCGGUGUGAAAGUCCAUCGCUUAACGGUGGAUCCGCGCCGGGUACGGGCGGGCUUGAGUGCGGUAGGGGAGACUGGAAUUCCCGGUGUAACGGUGGAAUGUGUAGAUAUCGGGAAGAACACCA